CUCCUGUCUGAGCUUCAGGAUCAGUGUAGGGACCAGAGGCAGGAGAGCGUGAGCUCCUGCAGGAAAACACAAACAUCAGUUUGUUUCACUUCCAUGACUCAACAAGUAAAACAACUUGAGUGUGUUGUUUUGCUGACUCAGGCAGUUUUCUGCUGACCAGUUCCUAACCAACGGGCGGGCCUCCCCAAGACUGUGUCCAUCUACGCUUCUAAGUGAGGAGGUGCUGGUUUCUCCUCCUCAGGAAAAACCAGCGUUCAGGCAGCUGAGCCAGGCUGUCCAGCACCAGGAGGACGUUUCUCCUGCAGGAGGACGAGGAGUCGUCCAGCAGCUCAGAGAGAGGAGGG